AUCACACAGACAGACCUCAGCCUCUCCCACCCCCACCACUCUGAGUCACUCUCUACAGGUCCCUACACAUCUUGCUGAGAAGUCCCUCUUCAUCUCUCAGUUCCAUGCAUCUUACUGCAGAAUCUGGAGAAGCAGCAACAGGUGAAGCCACAUCACAGGGAUUUUCUACCUCUUGGGAGGCAGGUGGCCUGGGACCCUGUGCUCUGUCUGUGACCUUGGGCAGUCACUGCGUGGAUCUGGACCAUCUAUGCCUGAUGUACCUCCCUUGAUGUCUUCUCAUGUUCUUUUCAUUCUGUAGAGGAAGUGAAGCCGGAAAGGAACAGUAGCAUGCUUAAAUCACACAACACCAAGUUGCAUGCACUACCAUGAUUCUACCCUGACUUCCCUGGGCAGAUGACCUCACCAAUAUGUCCUGGAACCUCACCUCUCCCCAGCUCUACCCCACUAGGGAACGAUGGAAGCAGGCUGGGAGUAUGGAGCAACCUGCCAAUGCCCAAACCCAGCAAAGAAGCAGUUACAGAAACCAGAACUUCUACCUUCUGCACCCCCAAAACAACUUUAAUCCAUACUCCCAGUGGGGGAGAAGUGAUGGAAGAGAAUAAAAGGCUCUGAACUCCAGCUCCAUCUGGACCCAGAGAGAGAGGACAAAAAGGGGAGAGAUAUUUGGACGUAGUAAUGGGGUUAUGUGUGGCUUGGAGCGGACCUGGAAGAAAAAGGGGGCAAUUAUGCACAAAUGUAGACAGACAGUUGUAGAGAAAACAGUUAACCCAUGUCUGCAACCUUGGGAGAACCGCGGUGGUUUUCAAUAGAGAGACUUGGGAUUCAGAACUCUAGUGGGAAGAAUGGUGUGGAAUUAUACCACUGUUGAUAUGUAAUUUUGUAAAUCAAUAUUGAAUUGCUUAUACAAAAUUUAAAUUAAAAAAAGCACACACACUGCUAGAGGCACUGGAUGUCCACAGGAGAAAAGAUGAAUCAAAAUUCCUAUAAUUUUACAUAAGUAAAAAUUAAAUUGCCAUGGAUUAAAAAAUUCAAAUGAAAAAUCUGGAACUGUGGGUUUUUUAGAAGAAAACACAGAUAAUCCAUCCUAGACAUGAACAAAAUCCACAAAGAUUUCUCCACAAGAUAAAAAAAAAAUGGUUGGACUUCAUCAAAAUUUAACAGUCUUAAGAGACACCCUUAAGAAAAUAAAUAGGUAUACUUCAAACCUGGAAAAUAUAUUCAGGGUGGGGGUAGAUAGCAUAAUGGUUAUGCAAAGAGAUUCUCAUGCCUGAGGCUCCAUACAUAGUCUCAGGUUUACCACCAUAAUCUCCCUUACCACCAUAAGCCAGAGCUGAGCAGUGCUCUGGUAAAAAAUACAAUAUAUAUAUAUUCACAACACUUAUUUAUAUCUAACAAAGGACUUAUAUU